CGUUCCAGUAUGAUGAUAACCAAGGAGGAGAGAGGGUGCGUCUGUGUACUUGCUGUGGAUUUCUGCUCUCCUUUGUCAUACCCUCUGACGAAAAGGUGCGUUGUGACCAAAGAGUGAGAUGACCUAACGAGUAAACAACCCAUCGCCAACAAGCGUCUCCCUAACAGGUGACUUGUUGCUUGAAGGGGCUAGAGCUGCUUGAUCAGGAGCUACCAGGGUCACACACCAGUACACCUGAAAUGAGGCAGCGAGCGGCCCUGCUGGUCUGCGGAGACAAAGGUGAUGGACUUCGAACUACACGAGUCCCGCUACGUACCUGCACGGAAUCAAGAAGUUUGGAGGCUAAGGGAGAAGCAGAGAGAAAGGGAGGGAAGAUUUAUCGAGCCACCUAGGGACGAGCAUAUACUACUGCUGCUUCAUCCUGCUGGCACCUGGACACCACGGAAGAAACCUUUCAAGUUAUCCAUCCCAAAGAACAGAUGUGCGGAGAGCAGACGUUAAGGUUGAUGCACCUUGGCUGUUUUGGUGUGAAUCUUGAGGAACUGCCUCGACUAUUUUUCAGUUCCGAUCACCCCCGUGAGGCUGUAACGGUUUUUUUUUUCCGUUCGGGCAUCAGUCGUUUUUUUUUUUUUUUUUUUGACUGGUG